UACGUAGGGCGCAAGCGUUGUCCGGAAUUAUUGGGCGUAAAGAGCUCGUAGGCGGUCUGUCGCGUCUGCUGUGAAAACGCGGGGCUCAACCCCGCGCCUGCAGUGGGUACGGGCAGACUAGAGUGCGGUGGGGGAGAUUGGAAUUCCUGGUGUAGCGGUGGAAUGCGCAGAUAUCAGGAGGAACACCGAUGGCGAAGGCAGAUCUCUGGGCCGUAACUGACGCUGAGGAGCGAAAGCAUGGGGAGCGAACAGG
rnacentral:rRNA from 1 species